UCAUCGGUGGUUCAGAGGUAGAAUUCUCACAUUCCACGUGGGAAACCUGGGUUCAAUCCCCGGCCAAUGCU
rnacentral:tRNA from 1 species